GACGAACGCUGGCGGCGUGCUUAACACAUGCAAGUCGAACGAAGAGCGAUGGAAGCUUGCUUCUAUCAAUCUUAGUGGCGAACGGGUGAGUAACGCGUAAUCAACCUGCCCUUCAGAGGGGGACAACAGUUGGAAACGACUGCUAAUACCGCAUACGAUCUAAUCUCGGCAUCGAGGAUAGAUGAAAGGUGGCCUCUACAUGUAAGCUAUCACUGAAGGAGGGGAUUGCGUCUGAUUAGCUAGUUGGAGGGGUAACGGCCCACCAAGGCGAUGAUCAGUAGCCGGUCUGAGAGGAUGAACGGCCACAUUGGGACUGAGACACGGCCCAGACUCCUACGGGAGGCAGCAGUGGGGAAUCUUCCGCAAUGGACGAAAGUCUGACGGAGCAACGCCGCGUGAGUGAUGACGGCCUUCGGGUUGUAAAGCUCGGUUAAUCGGGACGAAAGGCCUUCUUGCGAAUAGGGAGAAGGAUUGACGGUACCGGAAGAGAAAGCCACGGCUAACUACGUG
rnacentral:rRNA from 1 species